rnacentral:rRNA from 1 species
UACGGGGGGGGCAAGCGUUGUUCGGAAUUACUGGGCGUAAAGGGCUCGUAGGUGGCCAACUAAGUCAGACGUGAAAUCCCUCAGCUUAACUAGGGAACUGCGUCUGAUACUGAUUGGCUUGAAUUCGGGAGAGGGAUGCAGAAUUCCAGGUGUAGCGGUGAAAUGCGUAGAUAUCUGGAGGAAUACCGGUGGCGAAGGCGGCAUCCUGGACCGACAUUGACGCUGAACGGCGAAAGCUAGGGGAGCAAACGGG